rnacentral:rRNA from 1 species
AUCCCAAAAAAACAAUCUCAGUUCAGACUGCAGGCUGCAACUCGCCUGCACGAAGUCGGAAUUGCUAGUAAUCGUAGGUCAGCAUACUACGGUGAAUACGUUCCCGGGCCUUGUACACACCGCCCGUCAAACCAUGAGAGUUGGCAACACCCGAAGUCGGUAGUCUAACCGCAAGGAGGACGCCGCCGAAGGUGGGGUUGAUGAUUAGGGUUAAGUCGUAACAAGGUAAC